rnacentral:rRNA from 1 species
UUUUAUGAGAGUUUGAUCCUGGCUCAGGACGAACGCUGGCGGCGUGCCUAAUACAUGCAAGUCGAACGCUUCUUUUUCCACCGGAGCUUGCUCCACCGGAAAAAGAGGAGUGGCGAACGGGUGAGUAACACGUGGGUAACCUGCCCAUCAGAAGGGGAUAACACUUGGAAACAGGUGCUAAUACCGUAUAACAAUUGAAACCGCAUGGUUUUGAUUUGAAAGGCGCUUUCGGGUGUCGCUGAUGGAUGGACCCGCGGUGCAUUAGCUAGUUGGUGAGGUAACGGCUCACCAAGGCGACGAUGCAUAGCCGACCUGAGAGGGUGAUCGGCCACAUUGGGACUGAGACACGGCCCAAACUCCUACGGGAGGCAGCAGUAGGGAAUCUUCGGCAAUGGACGAAAGUCUGACCGAGCAACGCCGCGUGAGUGAAGAAGGUUUUCGGAUCGUAAAACUCUGUUGUUAGAGAAGAACAAGGAUGAGAGUAACUGUUCAUCCCUUGACGGUAUCUAACCAGAAAGCCACGGCUAACUACGUGCCAGCAGCCGCGGUAAUACGUAGGUGGCAAGCGUUGUCCGGAUUUAUUGGGCGUAAAGCGAGCGCAGGCGGUUUCUUAAGUCUGAUGUGAAAGCCCCCGGCUCAACCGGGGAGGGUCAUUGGAAACUGGGAGACUUGAGUGCAGAAGAGGAGAGUGGAAUUCCAUGUGUAGCGGUGAAAUGCGUAGAUAUAUGGAGGAACACCAGUGGCGAAGGCGGCUCUCUGGUCUGUAACUGACGCUGAGGCUCGAAAGCGUGGGGAGCAAACAGGAUUAGAUACCCUGGUAGUCCACGCCGUAAACGAUGAGUGCUAAGUGUUGGAGGGUUUCCGCCCUUCAGUGCUGCAGCUAACGCAUUAAGCACUCCGCCUGGGGAGUACGACCGCAAGGUUGAAACUCAAAGGAAUUGACGGGGGCCCGCACAAGCGGUGGAGCAUGUGGUUUAAUUCGAAGCAACGCGAAGAACCUUACCAGGUCUUGACAUCCUUUGACCACUCUAGAGAUAGAGCUUCCCCUUCGGGGGCAAAGUGACAGGUGGUGCAUGGUUGUCGUCAGCUCGUGUCGUGAGAUGUUGGGUUAAGUCCCGCAACGAGCGCAACCCUUAUUGUUAGUUGCCAUCAUUUAGUUGGGCACUCUAGCAAGACUGCCGGUGACAAACCGGAGGAAGGUGGGGAUGACGUCAAAUCAUCAUGCCCCUUAUGACCUGGGCUACACACGUGCUACAAUGGGAAGUACAACGAGUCGCAAAGUCGCGAGGCUAAGCUAAUCUCUUAAAGCUUCUCUCAGUUCGGAUUGUAGGCUGCAACUCGCCUACAUGAAGCCGGAAUCGCUAGUAAUCGCGGAUCAGCACGCCGCGGUGAAUACGUUCCCGGGCCUUGUACACACCGCCCGUCACACCACGAGAGUUUGUAACACCCGAAGUCGGUGAGGUAACCUUUUGGAGCCAGCCGCCUAAGGUGGGAUAGAUGAUUGGGGUGAAGUCGUAACAAGGUAGCCGUAUCGGAAGGUGCGGCUGGAUCACCUCCUUU